UGACUUUUUGAAAGCGCUCGAGGAGGGGGGGUAUGAUUGAUGUACGAGGAGGAGAUG
rnacentral:ribozyme from 1 species